CGACUUCUUGAUAGUGAUGCAACUAUUGGAUCAAGACAUAUAAAUAUGCGAAAAUAAAGCGUGUAAUAUAUAUUUAUAUAAAGUACAUGUCACUGAGUGAAACAAAUGAAAACAAUAAAACCUGCAAACAUCCACACGGGGAACAGAACCCACAGCUGUGAGUUUAUAGUAUGAAACGUUGCUCUGCCUCGCUCAUCUGCCGCCUCGCUCAUCUGCCUCCUCGCUCAUCUGCCCUCGCUCAUCUGCCGCCUCGCUCAUCUGCCGCCUCGCUCAUCUGUCGCAUCGCUCAGCUGCCGCCUCGCUCAGCUGCCGCCUCGCUCAUCUGCCUCCUCGCUCAGCUGCCGCCUCUCUCAUCUGCCUCCUCGCUCAUCUGCCGUCUCGCUCAUCUGCCUCCUCGCUCAUCUGCCGCCUCGCUCAUCUGCCGUCUCGCUCAUCUGCCGCCUCGCUCAUCUGCCGCCUCGCUCAGCUGCCUCCUCGCUCAUCUGCCGCCUCCUCGCUCAUCUGCCUCCUCGCUCAGCUGCCUCCUCGCUCAUCUGCCGCCUCGCUCAUCUGCUGCCUCGCUCAUCUGCCGUCUCGCUCAGCUGCCUCCUCGCUCAGCUGCCUCCUCGCUCAUCUGCCGCCUCGCUCAUCUGCUGCCUCCUCGCUCAUCUGCCUCCUCGCUCAGCUGCCUCCUCGCUCAUCUGCCGUCUCGCUCAUCUGCCGCCUCGCUCAUCUGCCGUCUCGCUCAGCUGCCUCCUCGCUCAUCUGCCGCCUCGCUCAUCUGCCUCCUCGCUCGGCUGCCUCCUCGCUCAUCUGCCGCCUCCUCGCUCAUCUGCCGCCUCCUCGCUCAUCUGCCGCCUCCUCGCUCAUCUGCCUCCUCCUCGCUCAGCUGCCUCCUCACUCAUCUGCCGCCUCGCUCGGCUGCCUCCUCGCUCAUCUGUCGCCUCCUCGCUCAGCUGCCUCCUCGCCCAUCUGCCGCCUCGCUUAGCCGCCUCCUCGCCCAUCUGCCUCCUCGCCCAUCUGCCGC
rnacentral:lncRNA from 1 species